rnacentral:piRNA from 1 species
UGGGAAAGCAUUUAGCGUCAUGCCUGGCGA